AUAACUCCUCCUUGACAGCUUAUUUCCCUUUGUAAACUGCACAUCGCUGCAUCUUCGAAAGGUUGUGUUGUAGUUGUAAGACAUCUCCAGAGUAUCGAAAGUUGCAGGUAAGAUGAAUUACACUAGAUUCUUUAACUCUACAAGUCUGGCAAGAUGUCCCUCAGCUAUACGUGUAUUAACUGCAAUUGUGGCUUCAAGUCCCCCGUCACUUAUAUCUAUGGCAGGAGGGAUGCCAAAUCCAGAUCUUUUCCAAUACAAGAAGCCACACUUAAACUUAGGGAUGGUUCAACACUUCAUAUAAACUCAGAGACUAUGAGAAAAGGGCUGCAGUAUGCUGCCACACCAGGAAUUGCAGAUCUCUUGGAGUGGAUAAAGAUGCUACAGAAAGCAAUUCACAAUCCCCCAACCAUGGGCAUCACUGAUCCACAGCGACAACUAGAUGUACUUGUCACUUCAGGAAGCCAAGAUGCAAUCUGCAAGACAAUGGAAGCUUGUAUUGAAAAGGGACAAAAUAUUUUAAUGGAAUGCCCAUCUUACCCUGGCACCCUUGGAAUUGUGAAACCCUUAGGCCCUAAUAUUAUAGAGGUAAAAAGUGACAAGGAUGGCAUAGAUCCAGCACAUCUGAAGCAGAUUCUUUCUAAGUGGAAUCCGUCGGAUGCAAAGGACAAGGACAGUGAGUUACCCAGACUGCUUUACAUAAUUCCCAAUGGUGGAAAUCCAACAGGAGCUAGUUUGACAUUAAAAAGGAAAAAGGAAAUCUACAAGAUUGCCCAGACAUAUGAUCUUUUGAUUCUGGAAGAUGAUCCAUAUUUCUAUCUACAGUUCAACAAUCCUUAUAUACCAAGUUUUCUUUCCAUGGAUGAAGAUGGACGAGUUGUCAGAUUUGAUUCCUUUUCAAAGCUGCUUUCAGGAGGUGCACGUGUAGGCUUUGUGACGGGCCCAAAAGCUGUCCUUGAACGUAUUGGUCUUCACAUGCAAGUCUCAGUAAUGCAUGCAAGUGGUUUAAGCCAGGUCUGCAUACACACUGUUUUGGAGUCAAUGGGUCUUGAGGGGUUUAAAAACCAUGCUUUAAAAGUAGCAGACUUCUAUCGAAGACAGUCAGAGGCUUGUGUGGCUGCUGCUGAGAAGCAUUUAACAGGUCUUGCUGAAUGGGCGGCACCAAGUGGAGGCAUGUUUUUGUGGAUGAAACUUCUCAACAUUGAAGACAGUUACACACUCAUCACAGAAAAAGCAAGGGCAGCAGAGGUUUUAUUUGUACCGGGCAGAGUGUUUUAUGCUGAUGACACAAAGGCUACACCAUACAUCCGAGUUUCCUAUUCAGUGGUUUCCCCUGAACUUAUGGAUAAGGGUUUCGAGCGCCUUGCAAGGCUUCUUCGAGAAGAAACGAAGCAUUAAAUUAUAACCAGCUAGCUGGUUGUUUUUUAAUGAAGAAUGUCAACUAUUAUUUCAGAUGAUUGAAGAAACAAGAGCUGGGCCACCACCAGACUUGACAGAUCGUCAGAAAUCUAAGGAGAGUAACAUAAAAAAAAGUUAAUUUUUCUGUAAUAAAGAUUUAGUGGGGAACAGUUUUUUGGUUAAAUGACUGGGUAAAGCUCAGUGUAAGUUACUAUUUCCCAAAUGUGUGUGAAUACUUCCUCUUUGUGUUCUUGAGCUACAUGUAAACAUCACCAAGCAUAGAAAGAGGUCAACAAUACAUAUGUCAGGACUCUACAUGGAUCCAUUUAUGCUGCGAAUGAGAAAAUGGACAAUCUGCUACUGUGGCAUAGCUGCGUACAAAUGUGAUGUUAUGAAUUCAACCUCUUUCAGUGAAAAUAGUAUCUUGUACUGAGCUUUACCUAGUCAUUAAAACAAAAACAAACAAAAAAAAAGUCAUCCCUCUACAAGUUUUAUUCAGUCUCUUUUUCUUCUUGCCUUCCUUAAAAGAGCAUUUACAUAUUGCUUAUUUUGAGUAGCGUUUCGUAAGGAAUGAUAAAUAGUGUUGCAUACUACAAAAAUAUACAUUUAUUUAGUAGAAAAUGUCUGAGACCUUACAUUUCAGUUCUAUAUAACGGAACAACGGAGGGCUCAUACUGAAACUUAACGGUGUGCUAAAACCAAAACUAAAAUCGUCGUUGAAGAAGUAUAGAA